AUCUCCCAGCAGUGAAUGGGCUGGAAAAGGUAAAAUGAGUGAGACAUACAAACAAUUUUAUUGUCACAUACUGACUUAUUAAGGUACUAUUUUGAUAUAAAGGUACUGAAGGCUAGUUAUGGAAGAUAUAUAAAAUAGUCUUAAUUCCUCACUGAGUUGUUACUGUCACCUGAAAAAUGAGGUGGAGCAAACUAUUUUAGCAAACUAAUAGACUCCCAGAUACCAAUGUCAACCAACAAUAAGGAAAGUUAAUGAUGGAUUUAACCUAACAAAUUUCUUCACCUAUCAAGAAAAUACAAUGUGAUUGUUCUAGGGAGAAAAAUAUACACAGAAAGACAAAGAAGAUUCCAAUACUUAAAGAAACGUCAUUAUCUCAACAAUUGCAAACUUAUGAUAUUAUCAAAGAAAUUGUUUAUUACAUUCACUUGAAAAAUUAAAGCCCUUAACCAGGGAAAAUUUUUUUUGACUAUUAUCUCAUAUGAUUUAAAAUAAAAGUGUUUAAGAC
rnacentral:misc_RNA from 1 species